rnacentral:rRNA from 1 species
UACAGAGGUCUCAAGCGUUGUUCGGAUUCAUUGGGCGUAAAGGGUGCGUAGGCGGCGCGGUAAGUCGGGUGUGAAAUUUCGAGGCUUAACUUCGAAACUGCAUUCGAUACUGCGGUGCUUGAGGACUGGAGAGGAGACUGGAAUUCAUGGUGUAGCAGUGAAAUGCGUAGAGAUCGUAAGGAAGACCAGUGGCGAAGGCGGGUCUCUGGACAGUUCCUGACACUGAGGCACGAAGGCCAGGGGAGCAAACGGG